AAAAAGAUAAGCUAAAUAUAAGCUUUUAGGUUCAUACCCUAACUAUAAAGAAUAAUUUUCUUUUCUUUUUA
rnacentral:tRNA from 1 species